rnacentral:rRNA from 1 species
ACGAACGCUGGCGGCGUGCCUAAUACAUGCAAGUAGAACGCUGAAGAGAGGAGCUUGCUCUUCUUGGAUGAGUUGCGAACGGGUGAGUAACGCGUAGGUAACCUGCCUUGUAGCGGGGGAUAACUAUUGGAAACGAUAGCUAAUACCGCAUAACAAUGGAUGACACAUGUCAUUUAUUUGAAAGGGGCAAUUGCUCCACUACAAGAUGGACCUGCGUUGUAUUAGCUAGUAGGUGAGGUAACGGCUCACCUAAGCGACGAUACAUAGCCGACCUGAGAGGGUGAUCGGCCACACUGGGACUGAGACACGGCCCAGACUCCUACGGGAGGCAGCAGUAGGGAAUCUUCGGCAAUGGGGGCAACCCUGACCGAGCAACGCCGCGUGAGUGAAGAAGGUUUUCGGAUCGUAAAGCUCUGUUGUAAGUCAAGAACGAGUGUGAGAGUGGAAAGUUCACACUGUGACGGUAGCUUACCAGAAAGGGACGGCUAACUACGUGCCAGCAGCCGCGGUAAUACGUAGGUCCCGA